GAUGAAGAACGCAGUGAAAUGCGAUACGUAAUGUGAAUUGCAGAAUUCAGUGAAUCAUCGAGUCUUUGAACGCACAUUGCGCCCCCUGGUAUUCCGGGGGGCAUGCCUGUCCGAGCGUCAUUGCUGCCCUCAAGCACGGCUUGUGUGUUGGGCCUCCGUCCUCCUCCCGGGGGACGGGCCCGAAAGGCAGCGGCGGCACCGCGUCCGGUCCUCGAGCGUAUGGGGCUUCGUCACCCGCUCUUGUAGGCCCGGCCGCUUGAACCCCCCCACAUCCUACGGUUGACCUCGGAUCAGGUAGGGAUACCCGCUGAACUUAAGCAUAUCAAUAAGCGGAGGA
rnacentral:misc_RNA from 1 species